rfam:Trichobilharzia regenti genome assembly, scaffold: TRE_scaffold0092185
GUACUGCCGAAGAGUCCCAAACUGGGACGAAACAGCUUUCCAGUAC